GCCGCUGUGGCGGAAUGGCAGACGCACUUGACUCAAAAUCAAGCGGGAAACCGUGCCGGUUCAAGUCCGGCCAGCGGCA
rnacentral:tRNA from 7 species